rnacentral:rRNA from 1 species
CUACGGGUUGCACCAGUGAGGAAUAUUGCACAAUGGGGGGAACCCUGAUGCAGCAACGCCGCGUGGAGGAUGACGCAUUUCGGUGUGUAAACUCCUUUUAUAUGUCAAGAAAAUGACGGUAGCAUAUGAAUAAGCACCGGCUAACUCCGUGCCAGCAGCCGCGGUGAAUACGGAGGGUGCAAGCGUUACUCGGAAUCACUGGGCGUAAAGGACGCGUAGGCGGGUUGGAAAGUCAGGUGUGAAAUCCUACAGCUUAACUGUAGAACUGCACUUGAAACUUCUAAUCUAGAGUAUGGGAGGGGGAGAUGGAAUUAGUGGUGUAGGGGUAAAAUCCGUAGAUAUCACUAGGAAUACCUAAAGCGAAGGCGAUCUCCUGGAACAUUACUGACGCUAAGGCGUGAAAGCGUGGGGAGCAAACAGGAUUAGAUACCCCCGUAGUC